rnacentral:rRNA from 1 species
AUGGCCGUGGCGCGACGCGUACGCCACCGGCCGGCCGUCGAGGUACUCCAGCUGCGACGCGUCCGCCCAGGCGCCCGUGCUGUGCUGGGAGAAGUACAUCCGGAGGAGCUCGCCGGAGAAGUUGCUCACGCGCAGCGUCAGGUGCUCCCAGUCGCCGACGUGCUCGCCGAUCAUGCCGAGCGGGAUGGUGAGGGGCCCGACCUUGGCCCGCGCGGGGCCGUUGAACGGGUAGAAGAAGAACAAGGCGAGGUCCGUCGCCGUCCCUCCCAGCAUCGGCUUCGCCUGCACGUACGCCUUGGCGCCGGCGAGGUCGCCCUUCUUGACCCGCUCCUUCUGGCCGGCGUCCGCCGGCAGGUCCAGCCAGUAGGCGUCGUCGUUGCCGCCGCCCUGCGGGAGGUUGGACCCGUCGGCGGCCACGGGCGUCGGCGUCGGGUUGCCCUUCUGGUACAGCAGCGCGCCGUUCUCGAAGAACCACGUGACCGACGAAGGGAGAUACGGGUCGCUGGGGUGGAGGUACACGUGCGGCGAGUAGGCCGCGAGGACGGCGUUCAGCUGAGGCAGGUCGGGCAUGCACGACGUGUAAGCCCCGUCCUUGUCGCUGCCCCACACCGACUCCUCGGCCUCGCACGCGUCGGUGAAGUCGGCGCGGACGCACAUGACCUCUCCGGGCUGCGGCUUAUCCUUGGUGGCCGUGACCGCCACGCCGACGGCCUUGUAGCCAUCGGGCGGCGUCGGGAGCCAGAAGAAGCCCGCGCCAUCGUCCUGGCCGCUGGACCAGACAAGGGCGUAGUCCAGCGGCGGGGCAAGGAGCGCCCCGGUGCCGGACGCGUCCCGGGCGACGAGGACGUGGCCGAAGAGCGGCCGGUUGUUGGGCUGCGCGUAGUGUCCGAGCGCGUGGAAUCCGGCCGGGACAGGCGCCGGCUUGAAGAAGGUGGCGCCGAGGCCGUCUUGGCCGCCCUGCGUGGUGGACCAGACCUUGGCGAAGGUGGUGACUUGGCGCACCUCCAUGCCUCCCAGGUCGAUGCUGCCCUUUGCGAAUCCUCCAUCUGA